rnacentral:rRNA from 1 species
UACGCAGGUGGCAAGCGUUAUCCGGAAUUACUGGGCGUAAAGCGCACGCAGGUGGUUGGAUAAGAUUGACGUGAAAGCUUCUGGCUUAACUGGAAGAGGUCGUUGAUGACUGUCCGACUUGAGACGAGGAGAGGGGUGCAGAAUUCCCGGUGUAGUGGUGGAAUGCGUAGAUAUCGGGAGGAAUACCAGUGGCGAAAGCGGCACCCUGGCCUUAGUCUGACGCUCAGGUGCGAAAGCGUGGGGAGCAAACGGG